rnacentral:snRNA from 1 species
GUCAUUUCGGCAGCACAGAUAGUACAAUUGGAAUGACACAGAGGAGGUUAGCAUGACCCCUGAAAAGGAUGACACACAAAUUUGUGUGAAGUAUUUCCAUUUG